rnacentral:rRNA from 1 species
CCUACGGGUGGCAGCAGUGAGGAAUAUUGGUCAAUGGGCGGAAGCCUGAACCAGCCAAGUCGCGUGAGGGAUUAAGGCCCUGCGGGUCGUAAACCUCUUUUGCCGGGGAGCAGAGGUCCGGACGUGUCCGGGCCGGGAGAGUACCCGGAGAAAAAGCAUCGGCUAACUCCGUGCCAGCAGCCGCGGUAAUACGGAGGAUGCGAGUGUUAUCCGGAAUCAUUGGGCGUAAAGAGUUCGUAGGCGGGACUGCAAGUCAGAUGUGAAAACUCAGGGCUCAACCCUGAGCCUGCAUUUGAAACUGUAGUUCUUGAGUACUGGAGAGGCAGACGGAAUUCCUAGUGUAGCGGUGAAAUGCGUAGAUAUUAGGAGGAACACCAGUGGCGAAGGCGGUCUGCUGGACAGCAACUGACGCUGAGGCGCGAAAGCGUGGGGAGCAAACAGGAUUAGAUACCCUGGUAGUC